rnacentral:rRNA from 1 species
GCGUGAGUGAUGAAGGCCUUCGGGUCGUAAAACUCUGUGUUAGGGAAGAACCAGUACCGUCGAAUAGGGCGGUACCUUGACGGUACCUAACCAGAAAGCCACGGCUAACUACGUGCCAGCAGCCGCGGUAAUACGUAGGUGGCAAGCGUUGUCCGGAAUUAUUGGGCGUAAAGCGCGCGCAGGCGGUCCUUUAAGUCUGAUGUGAAAGCCCACGGCUCAACCGUGGAGGGUCAUUGGAAACUGGGGGACUUGAGUGCAGAAGAGAAGAGCGGAAUUCCACGUGUAGCGGUGAAAUGCGUAGAGAUGUGGAGGAACACCAGUGGCGAAGGCGGCUCUUUGGUCUGUAACUGACGCUGAGGCGCGAAAGCGUGGGGAGCAAACAGGAUUAGAUACCCUGGUAGUCCACGCCGUAAACGAUGAGUGCUAAGUGUUAGAGGGUUUCCGCCCUUUAGUGCUGAAGUUAACGCAUUAAGCACUCCGCCUGGGGAGUACGGUCGCAAGACUG